UGAUUUAGUUAAUGAAUUAUGAGUGACUUCCUCACGCACGCUGUUAUUGUAACUGAACCACUGAGGACCAGGAAUGGUUAUUAAAAGUGGACCCACAAUGAUUAUGAUGACAGUACAGUACUGCCACUUUUUAAAGGGCUGCACCAGCAAGUAGGCCUGAGGCAACUUCUCAACCUGUGAACAAUAGGAAGUCAGUCAAAGCUAAGAAAAGAAAAGCCAGCAAGGGAAAAGCAAGCAAGGCGAAGGGAGACUAUUGCGCAGCUGAGAGAAUAGACAACUACGACCCCAAAAACAACACGUAUUACAUAAAGUGGCAAGGAUAUGAUGCGUCCCACAACUCAUGGGUGAAAGCGGAAGACGUAACUUCUCCUCUCAUCUCUUCUUACAAAGAAAAAUUAGGUUCCGGAACGCACAAGAAGUGAUGCACCUCAUGUCUUUCGAUUGUUGAAAAAAUUGAUGUGAAUUUGUGCAAAUCCUCCCGCCUGUGUUUUUUUGUUCAGUGGAAUUCACGUAUUUCGGUAUUCCUUCUUCACCUCCACGCAUUAUUCAUUCUGACAUAAACUCACAUGAUCACUUUUGAUGAAAGAUUACAUAAUGGAUAUAUUGAAUUGGCACAAAUAUAGUAACAAUGUAAACUUAUCAUAUCUUUCAAAGGUAUCAUUAAAAGUAAAUGUAAGUUACAUGUACAUGUACUGUGGAAUUAUUGUUUUUUCAGACAAUCUGUGGCUGUUGUAUACAUGUAUCAUUCAAUAAACGUGGCGUUUUUCAUAUUAUUAGAUACAUAUAGUCUUGCCUUUAUCUU